rnacentral:rRNA from 1 species
CCUACGGGCUGCAGCAGUGGGGAAUAUUGGGCAAUGGGCGCAAGCCUGACCCAGCAACGCCGCGUGAAGGAAGACGGCUUUCGGGUUGUAAACUUCUUUUGUCAGGGACGAAGCAAGUGACGGUACCUGACGAAUAAGCCACGGCUAACUACGUGCCAGCAGCCGCGGUAAUACUUAGGUGGCAAGCGUUCUCCGGAUUUAUAGGGUGUAAAGGGCGUUUAGGCGGGAAUGCAAGUCAGAUGUGAAAACUAUGGGUCCACCCCAUAGCCUGCAUUUGAAACUGUAUUUCUUGAGUGCUGGAGAGGCAAUCGGAAUUCCGUGUGUAGCGGUGAAAUGCGUAGAUAUACGGAGGAACACCAGUGGCGAAGGCGGAUUGCUGGACAGUAACUGACGCUGAGGCGCGAAAGCGUGGGGAGCAAACAGGAUUAGAUACCCUAGUAGUC